CCUCGUUUCUUGGGAUAGCAUCAUGCAGUGGCACAGGUGAUCAGAUUGUUCAGUCUCAGCUCAGGAAAAAGAGUGUCCUGUCAACGACCAUGUGCCCACUCUGAACCAGCAGUCUCUAAGAAGUUUGGAGCAACAUGAGUGGAAUGAUCCUUCCAACCUAGUGAGCCAAAGUUGAAAGGCAGGAAAGCUGCUGAAGAGUCCCAUGGCCUUGAGGAAAAAGGCAAAGCUAUUCUGCAUGAGGGAAAGGAAAGA